CAGGCUUAACACAUGCAAGUCGAGCGUCAACGGGAAGAAAGCUUGCUUUCUUUGCCGGCGACCGGCGCACGGGUGAGUAACACGUAUCCAACCUGCCCUUUACUCGGGGAUAGCCUUUCGAAAGAAAGAUUAAUACCCGAUAGUAUAACGAUUCCGCAUGGUUUCAUUAUUAAAGGAUUCCGGUAAAGGAUGGGGAUGCGUUCCAUUAGGUUGUUGGUGAGGUAACGGCUCACCAAGCCUUCGAUGGAUAGGGGUUCUGAGAGGAAGGUCCCCCACAUUGGAACUGAGACACGGUCCAAACUCCUACGGGAGGCAGCAGUGAGGAAUAUUGGUCAAUGGGCGCUAGCCUGAACCAGCCAAGUAGCGUGAAGGAUGAAGGCUCUAUGGGUCGUAAACUUCUUUUAUAUAAGAAUAAAGUGCAGUAUGUAUACUGUUUUGUAUGUAUUAUAUGAAUAAGGAUCGGCUAACUCCGUGCCAGCAGCCGCGGUAAUACGGAGGAUCCGAGCGUUAUCCGGAUUUAUUGGGUUUAAAGGGAGCGUAGGUGGACUGGUAAGUCAGUUGUGAAAGUUUGCGGGCUCAACCGUAAAAUUGCAGUUGAUACUGUCAGUCUUGAGUACAGUAGAGGUGGGCGGAAUUCGUGGUGUAGCGGUGAAAUGCUUAGAUAUCACGAAGAACUCCGAUUGCGAAGGCAGCUCACUGGACUGCAACUGACACUGAUGCUCGAAAGUGUGGGUAUCAAACAGGAUUAGAUACCCUGGUAGUCCACACAGUAAACGAUGAAUACUCGCUGUUUGCGAUAUACAGUAAGCGGCCAAGCGAAAGCAUUAAGUAUUCCACCUGGGGAGUACGCCGGCAACGGCGAAACUCAAAGGAAUUGACGGGGGCCCGCACAAGCGGAGGAACAUGUGGUUUAAUUCGAUGAUACGCGAGGAACCUUACCCGGGCUUAAAUUGCAGUGGAAUGAUGUGGAAACAUGUCAGUGAGCAAUCACCGCUGUGAAGGUGCUGCAUGGUUGUCGUCAGCUCGUGCCGUGAGGUGUCGGCUUAAGUGCCAUAACGAGCGCAACCCUUAUCUUCAGUUACUAACAGGUCAUGCUGAGGACUCUGGAGAGACUGCCGUCGUAAGAUGUGAGGAAGGUGGGGAUGACGUCAAAUCAGCACGGCCCUUACGUCCGGGGCUACACACGUGUUACAAUGGGGGGUACAGAAGGCAGCUAGCGGGUGACCGUAUGCUAAUCCCAAAAUCCUCUCUCAGUUCGGAUCGAAGUCUGCAACCCGACUUCGUGAAGCUGGAUUCGCUAGUAAUCGCGCAUCAGCCACGGCGCGGUGAAUACGUUCCCGGGCCUUGUACACACCGCCCGUCAAGCCAUGGGAGCCGGGGGUACCUGAAGAACGUAACCGCAAGGAUCGUCCUAGGGUAAAACUGGUGACU
rnacentral:rRNA from 1 species